CCUACGGGAGGCAGCAGUAGGGAAUCUUCCACAAUGGGCGAAAGCCUGAUGGAGCAACGCCGCGUGGGUGAAGAAGGUCUUCGGAUCGUAAAACCCUGUUGUUAGAGAAGAAAGUGCGUGAGAGUAACUGUUCACGUGUCGACGGUAUCUAACCAGAAAGUCACGGCUAACUACGUGCCAGCAGCCGCGGUAAUACGUAGGUGGCAAGCGUUAUCCGGAUUUAUUGGGCGUAAAGGGAACGCAGGCGGUCUUUUAAGUCUGAUGUGAAAGCCUUCGGCUUAACCGGAGUAGUGCAUUGGAAACUGGGAGACUUGAGUGCAGAAGAGGAGAGUGGAACUCCAUGUGUAGCGGUGAAAUGCGUAGAUAUAUGGAGGAACACCAGUGGCGAAAGCGGCUCUCUGGUCUGUAACUGACGCUGAGGUUCGAAAGCGUGGGUAGCAAACAGGAUUAGAUACCCUGGUAGUC
rnacentral:rRNA from 1 species